rnacentral:ncRNA from 1 species
GGGGAGUACGUUCACAAGAAUGAAACUCAAAGGAAUUAACGGGGGCCCGCACAAGCGGUGGAGCAUGUGGUUCAAUUCGAUGCAAAGUGAAGAAACUUACCAGGGCUUGACAUGCUGUGAAUCCUCCCGAAAGAGAGUGCCUUCGGGAACGCGGACACAGGUGGUGCAUGGUUGUUGUUAGCUCGUGCCGUAAGGUGUUUGGUUAAGUCCCGCAAUGAGCGCAACCCUCGUGUUUAGUUGCCAGCAUUGAGUUUGGAACCCUGAAUAGACUGCCGGUGAUAAGCCAGAGGAAGGUGAGGAUGACGUCAAGUCAUCAUGCCCCUUACGCCCUAGGUGACACACGUGCUACAAUGACCGGGACAAAGGGUCGCGACCCCGCGAGGGCAAGCUAACCUCAAAAACCCGGCCUCAGUUAGGAUUGCAGGCUUGUUGGCAGCCAAUUCACAUUUUUCAUUGUCUCAUAAGCUGCCUACACCUAUGUCUUGCAAACUUCAAGUUUUCGUCGCAUUUUUCAAAUAAACGAAACUUUAAUUUCUUGAGACAUUUACA